UGAAAGUCUUUCCUAAAAAAAAAAAUCGGUUUGAACAACUCAUUUUUCAGACCCUAAACAAAGAAAUAUCCGUCCAAACCAACUAGAGGAUUGACAUUAUGUCAUAGAUGUCAAAAAAUUAUCCGACUUAAGAAAAAAGACUAAGUUAUAGCCUCCAAAAAUUCUGCGUGCGAUUCAGCUUUCCAAUGUGACGGAUCUCACUUAUAAACCUUAUCCAACCCUACUCGCAGUGGCCAAAGUGGUCCACAACAAGUCUAGUGAUCCUUCUAGAUUAGGAUUCUCCAUGUUAGGUGAUUUUACUUCUACGAAAUUAAAAUUGAAGAUAGAAAAAUACUUGCUUCUCCAUCUCACAGCUGAACUACUUGGCUUGCUCGGAGAUAGUUUCUGGUCUUGCUCUUCUUUGCUUCUCGAUAUUAGCGAACUACCCAUCCCACUUCUCUAUUUAGACUUCAUGGCAGGGAUGCUUCUUGCCAUCCUUUCUCCUUGACGAGGACAAUGGUGACUUCCCUCUAUUUCGAUCUUGAUCGAUCGACCUGUGGAACAAAGAGGCGAGAGCUUAGCCUCUCAUAAGUGAACCUGCUUCUCAUAUGACCAUCACAAACUUAUUAUAGGUUUUAACAAGUCGCUUCGCA
rnacentral:lncRNA from 1 species